GUGUCAGCCGCCGCGGUAAUACGGAGGGUGCGAGCGUUAAUCGGAAUUACUGGGCGUAAAGCGUGCGUAGGCGGCGCGUUAAGCCAGAUGUGAAAGCCCCGGGCUUAACCUGGGAACGGCAUUUGGGACUGGCGUGCUAGAGUUGGGUAGAGGGGAGCGGAAUUCCGGGUGUAGCGGUGAAAUGCGUAGAUAUCCGGAGGAACACCAGUGGCGAAGGCGGCUCCCUGGACCCAAACUGACGCUGAGGCACGAAAGCGUGGGUAGCAAACAGGAUUAGAAACCCCCGUAGUCC
rnacentral:rRNA from 1 species